UGCUUGUAUGGUUCUUGGACUGGUGUCCU
rnacentral:sRNA from 1 species